UACGGGGGGGGCAAGCGUUGUUCGGAAUUACUGGGCGUAAAGGGCGCGUAGGCGGCCUUCUAAGUCGGACGUGAAAUCCCUCGGCUUAACCGAGGAACUGCGUCCGAUACUGAAAGGCUUGAAUCCGGGAGAGGGAUGUGGAAUUCCAGGUGUAGCGGUGAAAUGCGUAGAUAUCUGGAGGAACACCGGUGGCGAAGGCGGCAUCCUGGACCGGCAUUGACGCUGAGGCGCGAAAGCUAGGGGAGCAAAGCGGGG
rnacentral:rRNA from 1 species